AUUGAACGCUGGCGGCAGGCCUAACACAUGCAAGUCGAACGAGUGGCGGACGGGUGAGUAAUGUCUGGGAAACUGCCUGAUGGAGGGGGAUAACUACUGGAAACGGUAGCUAAUACCGCAUACCAUCGGAUGUGCCCAGAUGGGAGUAGCUAGUAGGUGGGGUAAAGGCUCACCUAGGCGACUAUCCCUAGCUGGUCUGCGAGGAUGACCAGCCACACUGGAACGGAUACACGGUCCAGACUCCUACGGGAGGCAGCAGUGGGGAAUAUUGAAGAAGGGGCGCAAGCCGGAUGCAGCCAUGCCGCGUAGAUAAAGAAGGACUUCGGGUUGUAAAGUACUUUCAGCGGGGAGGCGUUACCCGCAGAAGAAGCACCGGCUAACUCCGUGCCAUCAGCCGCGGUAAUAC
rnacentral:rRNA from 1 species